UACAGAGGGUGCAAGCGUUAAUCGGAAUUACUGGGCGUAAAGGGCUCGUAGGCGGCCAACUAAGUCAGACGUGAAAUCCCUCGGCUUAACCGGGGAACUGCGUCUGAUACUGGAUGGCUAGAGGUUGGGAGAGGGAUGCGGAAUUCCAGGUGUAGCGGUGAAAUGCGCAGAUAUCAGGAGGAACACCGGUGGCGAAGGCGGUUCUCUGGGCAUUACCUGACGCUGAGGAGCGAAAGUGUGGGGAGCGAACAGG
rnacentral:rRNA from 1 species